rnacentral:tRNA from 1 species
GGAGAGAUGGCUGAGUGGCCGAAAGCGCCGGAUUGCUAAUCCGGUGUGUCGGAUUUCCCGGCACCGCGGGUUCGAAUCCCGCUCUCUCCG